UACGAAGGGUGCAAACGUUGCUCGGAAUUAUUGGGCGUAAAGGGCGCGUAGGCGGCCAUAUAAGUCGGGGGUGAAAGCCUGUGGCUCAACCACAGAAUUGCCUUCGAUACUGUAUGGCUCGAGACCGGAAGAGGUAAGUGGAACUGCGAGUGUAGAGGUGAAAUUCGUAGAUAUUCGCAAGAACACCAGUGGCGAAGGCGGCUUACUGGUCCGGUUCUGACGCUGAGGCGCGAAAGCGUGGGGAGCAAACAGG
rnacentral:rRNA from 1 species